rnacentral:rRNA from 1 species
GACGAGCGCUGGCGGCGUGCUUAACACAUGCAAGUCGAACGAUGACGACCGAGCUUGCUCGGUCUGAUUAGUGGCGAACGGGUGAGUAACACGUGAGCAACCUGCCCUUCACUCUGGGAUAACCUCGGGAAAUCGGGGCUAAUACCGGAUAUGAGCUCCUGUCGCAUGGCGGGUGUUGGAAAGUUUUUCGGUGAAGGAUGGGCUCGCGGCCUAUCAGUUUGUUGGUGAGGUAGUGGCUCACCAAGGCGAUGACGGGUAGCCGGCCUGAGAGGGCGACCGGCCACACUGGGACUGAGACACGGCCCAGACUCCUACGGGAGGCAGCAGUGGGGAAUAUUGCACAAUGGGCGAAAGCCUGAUGCAGCGACGCCGCGUGAGGGAUGACGGCCUUCGGGUUGUAAACCUCUUUCAGCAGGGAAGAAGCGAAAGUGACGGUACCUGCAGAAGAAGCGCCGGCUAACUACGUG